rnacentral:rRNA from 1 species
CCCGCCGGCGACCGGCGCACGGGUGAGUAACACGUAUGAAACCUGCCCGUAGCAGGGGGAUAAGCGGAAGAAAUUCCGUCUAAUACCGCGUAACAACCCAUGGAGGCAUCUCUGUGGGUUUAAAGGAAGCGAUUCCGGCUACGGAUGGUCAUGCGUCGCAUUAGCUUGUUGGCGGGGUAACGGCCCACCAAGGCGACGAUGCGUAGGGGUUCUGAGAGGAAGGCCCCCCACACUGGGACUGAGACACGGCCCAGACUCCUACGGAAGGCAGCAG